ensembl:lncRNA
GGAAGCGUGAUCUGGAGGAAAGGAUGCAUCUGAGGAACUGGAAAAGGUUUCAGUUGAGUGCAGUAUAUCCAGGUAUAUAAGGAACUUCCUCCAUCACCUUUGAAGAUUACUGAAAGUCCAGAUCAUCAAAUACAUUUUAGGACUCAUAAAUUUUGUGGAUUUAGAUACCUAAUAACAUUGAACUUCAACAUCCAGGGAAAAGGAUCUGUCACCUGAAGAGCAUAUUUUAGAUUUUAAGCUGGAUGAAUGAACUCUUUGUACUACUCUUCGAUACACUGGAGGGAAGAGAGAAGAUGCAUCAAAUUAAAUUCCUACAAGCUUCAUGAGAACAGACAGCUGGGUAGAGAUGCUUUCAGUGAGGAACAAGCUGAGCCUGACUUCCUGUAAUGUCUGAUUAUAAAUUUUGCCCUCCUGUUUCUCAAGCAUGAAAUAUAGUCUUCCACGUAGUGUUCAAUGCUUCAUUUUCACUAUAUUCAGUUGCUUUUCUCAGUUUUAUAAUUUUGUUUUCUUUUACUUUUUCCUCUUCCUCUACACUUUGCCCAGUUUCAUGGUUCAUCUCUCCAAAUAAUUUUCUGACUUAGCCUUUCCCUUUCAGUCUGUGUCUGAAUAACAGAGAUGUGCCAUCCAACAGCUGUCCUUCCUGAGAACCAACACGACUUCUCAGCAUCACAUCUUUUUCAUCCUUGGGCAUGAAUACUAAACAAAAUAAUCAUCUUGCAGAAUUACUUUCUAGAAUUCACUAUUUUUAUGAUUUAUUUCCAGUUAUCAGUCGAAAUUUAAGCUGCAUAUGAGAAUCCCUACUAUGGGAUACCAAUGCUCAAGGGUAGAACCAGUUUCCAGUUCAUUAAGCCUUUAUGUCCUUUACAUGUGAUUCUUUAGUGUAAUGAAAGAUGCAAAAUGAUAACGAAUGUUUAUGAGUUAUCUCAAUUUCAUUUCUAUCUGUUGCAUUUUGUUGAUACAGUGGCAGUUUGCUGCAUAGCCCAUAUCUACCACAGCAACAUAUUUCUGCUAGCCCUCCUCUUUUUUUGCAAAGGCUAUGGUGGUUUCUCUUUUACUAUCUUUUGAAAAAUUAUUAAUAGCUUCUUAGAAAAAUAUUUCAUGAAUUUUUGUCUUGAC